rnacentral:rRNA from 1 species
CCUACGGGGCGCAGCAGUGAGGAAUAUUGGUCAAUGGGCGAGAGCCUGAACCAGCCAAGUAGCGUGAGGGAGUACUGCCCUAUGGGUUUUAAACCUCUUUUGUCGGGGAGCAAAAGCCGGACGUGUCCGGCUUUGAGAGUACCGGAAGACAAAGCAUAGGCUAACUCCGUACCAGCAGCCGCGGUAAUACGGAGGCUUCGAGCGUUCUCCUGAUUUGUUGGGUUUAAAGGGUGCGCAGGCGGAUUUUUAAGUCAGCGGUAAAAUCGUGGGGCUCAACCCCAUCCCGACGUUGAAACUGGGGAUCUAGAGUGUGCGAGAGGUAUGCGGAAGGCGUGGUGUAGCGGUGAAAUGCAUAGAUAUCACGAAGAACCCCGAUUGCGAAGGCAGCAUACCGGUGCACAACUGACGCUCAGGCACGAAAGCGUGGGUAUCGAACAGGAUUAGAUACCCCUGUAGUC